UGUAGACCUGGGGGGCACUUCGAGCAUGGAGCUGCGUCGUCUUCAGCACAGACCCUGGGGCUUGGGUAUUACUGUGAGAGGGCCUUGCAGUGGCCCUAGUCGCCAGAAGAGGGCGGGGGCACAUCACCAGGAGCGAGGUGCACACCGCAGCCUCAGAAUACAAAUGGAGUGUUCCUAAGGCAGAUAUGACAUCCGAAAUGCGAAUACGACAUCCACAGUGCUCAUGUAGAAAACAGCUGUGAUGCUAAUGCAAGGCCUCAUUCCGCAAUGUUACUAUAAAAUCCGCACUGCUCAUGCGGCCCGGCCAAUACAGCAGUUUGAAUUGUCAACACUGACCUAUCAGUGCAAACGCAGAAACUAAGUAUGGUUAAGGCUUAGGGUGAGGAUUAGGGCUAGGGGUUAGGGUUAGAGUUGGGGGUUGCCCGUUAGGCGUUAGGAUUUAGGGGUUAGAAGAAUUUGAGGCAAAAUAAACAGUUUAUUUAAGCAAAGGAAUGAUUCGUGAAUCACACACAGAAGGCAGGGCUUGGGGCUUCGAGCUCUUCCUGGUGGCAGCUAAGUGAGGUUUCUCCUUGGCUCCAGCUAGGUGACCGCCUGGUGUGGGGAUGGUUCCCUCAGCGUCCCUAGUCUUACAGUCAGCUGCGACUGGGCCUAUUGUCAUUGACUGGUUGGUUUGCUAAUGUUUUGAAGUCAGUGUUAAUGCCUGCUUUGCAAGACCUCAGGCUAACGGCUUCCUCCUGUUUUGCUUUAACAUGUCAAAACCAUAAUUCAUUUUCAUUUUACUUUACUGGCAUUAAUAGAAAUUAAUAAAAAUUCACAUUUUUGUUCUUAUUCAGAAAGUCAGUUUAAUUGGCAACCUAUUUGUGAUGGUGCAUAAAAUAAUGUCUGUUAAUCAUUAGCAUCUUAGAUUAGAUGAAAUAUGUUAACUCUAUUAAGCUUUGUUAUUAAAUCAUAACAGGAGUUGAGUCUCUCUCUCUCUCUCUCUCUCUCGCGCGAGCCUUUAACCAUUUAAAAUAUACUCAAGCAUCUCCUAAUGAUGUGAAUUCUUUCUGGGAAAUUUGUCCUUGGUGAUUUCAUCCUUGUCUGAAUACCAUAGAGUGUCCUUUUAAAUCCUAUAUGGUUUAGCCCACUCCACACAUAAGUUAUAUGGUAUAGCCUAUUGCUCCCAUGCUACAAAGUAUGGCACAUCUCUAUACUGAAUGCUGUAGUCAACUGUCACACCAUGGUGACUGUGGAUUGUGAUCCCAAAAUAUCUGAGUCAGGUCUCAGCCAAUUUAGAACGCUUCUUUUGCCAAGGUUAAGAACAUGCCCGUGACAAAGCCUCAGGAGAUCCUGACAACAUGGGACCGAGGUGGUCAGGGUAAAGCUUGCUUUUAUACAUUUUAGAGAGACAGGAGACACCAAUCAAUAUGCGUAAGAUGUACAGUAUUUUGGUUCAAUAAGGUGGAACAACCGGAAGUAGGAAGUGGGGGUGCUUCUGGGUCAGAAGUACAUAAAACAAAAGGUUGCAUUCUUUUGAAUCCUUGAUCAGCCUUCCACUGAGUACAAUUUAGUCUGGUUCAGUGAAUCUUCAUUUUUACCUAUACAGUAGGGCAGAGGAAUGGCGUGAUCUUGGCCCACAACAACCUCUGCCUCCCAGGUUCAAGCGAUUGUCUUUCCUCAGCUUCCCGAGCAGCUGGGAUUACAGGCAUGCACCACCAUGCCUGGGUAACUUUUGUAUUUUUAGUAGAGAUGAGCAUCCACCAUGCCCAGCCUACUAUCAGUAUAUUUGCUGUGGUUGAGUAUCUGUUCAGAUAUUUACCCAGUUUUAAAAUCACAUGUGUUUUGUGUAAAUAUCUUCUCAUGUCUGUCUUGUCUUUUUGUUUUAUCUACAGUUUUUCACAGUAGAAUAUGUAGUUUUAUAAGGUCUGUUAUCAAUAUUUUCAUGAAUUGGCAUUUGAUGUUAUGUGUUAAAACUCAACACCAAAUCCAAUGUCAUCUAGAUUUUCUUUUAGAUUUUUUGUAGUUUUGUAUUUCAUAUUACAGUCUCUGGACUAUUUUGAGUGGGUUUUUGUUUUUCUUAUUUUGUGUAUGUACUCAUUUCAUUCCACAUGGCUUCCAAAGUCUUCCAUCACCAAUUUUUGGGAAGAAUAUGGCUACAAUGGGCUUCAUUUUGGCUUGAGUUUCCAAAAUUAUUACAUUGAAUAAACUGAAUAUUGAAUUUUAUAGGUAUUUCAGGACAGCCAGGCGGAGGUGCACGUCUGCUGAGAAACUGAGCAAGAGUGUCUGGGCUGAGCUCUGGCGCCACCAGAGGGCACGUGAGCCCACCCCUGACCAACUUCCCUCUGAGGUGCCAGGUCACCACGAGGGUGGUGUCAACUAAGUCUUGUUCAUUGGGUCUCCAGCAGUUAUUGCUGUACCAGAUUUGCAGUGUCCCACAAAAUACUCUGGUACAGAAUAACACCCAUGGAAACCAGCCUCACUUUCAUAGGGAGAAGCUGCAUGGGGCUCCUGCCAACUUCCACCUGAGGGUAGGGACCUGUACAGCAUAGACCUGCACCUCCUGCAGAUGGGGACAAUGGCAUCUGAGUGUCCCACAUCAAGAGGAGACACCCUCUGCUCCCAGGCUGGCCAAGAUGUUGCCAAGGUGAGGCUGGCUUAGGAGCUCCAUCGUUCAGCCUCAUCAGCUUUGCUAAAUUCUGUGCCACAUAUGUUAGUCCCAGAUCAUUAUCAUCUAUAGCUCCCAACUCUAUGGUUUGGUCUUUGUGGCCUAAAACCUUAGCCAGCCCUGAAACUCCACAAGAAGGGAGAAAAUAUGUCCUGGGCAGUAUUUGUAUUCGUUGUCAUUCAUUUCAUUGAUGGAGCACUAGCUAUGGGGCCAUGCUCUGUUCUAGGUACUGGGGAUUGGGUGAAAGAAACAGACAAGGGCCCAGCUCUCUUGGGGUGAUGUGCUGAUAGAUGUGAGGCCCAAACAAAAAUCCAGGGCAAGGGGACAGAGCACGAUGGCAUGCCUAGGGAGGGAAGGCUUGGCGUUCAAGCUGAGAUCAUAAGGAAAGACCGUGAGCUGUGCAGGUGUCUGGGAGAAGAGCUUUUUCUUUGGAAACAGAGUCUUGCUCUGUCACCCAGGCUGGGGUGCAAUAGCACGAUCUCGGCUCACCGCAACUUCCACUUCCUGGGUUCAAGCAAUUCUCUUGCCUCAGCCUCCCGAGUAGCUGGGAUUACAGGUGCACACCACCACACCCAGCUCACUUCUGUAUUUUUGGUGGAGACGGGGUUUCACUAUGUUGCUUGUGCUCUUCUCCAACUCCUAAUCUUGAGUGAUCCACCUGCCUUGUCACCCAAAGUGCUGGGAUUACAGGCAUGAGUCACCGUGCCUGGCAUGGGAGAAGAGCCUUCUAGGCAGUGGGAAUGGCAUAUGCAAAGGUCCUGGGUCAGGAGCAUGCCUGGACUUGGGUUUUCCAACCUCAGCAUGGUUGAUAUUUUGGGCUGAAACUUCAUGGUUGGGUUCUGUCCUGUGCAUUGUGGGAUGUUUAUUGGACCCCCAGUCUCUACCCACUAGACGCCAGCAGCACCCCCUACCAGUUGUGACAUUUGAAUUAUCUCUAGAUCUUGCCAAAUGACUCUUGGGAGAUGCAGUCAUCCCCAGUUGAGAACCACUGACCUAUUGUGUUCAAGAAACAGCAAGGAGGUCAGCGUGGCCAAGAAAGAGCAGCUGAGGCACAGAGCGGAAGGAGCCGGGACGUCGUUCAUGAUCAUCAGGACUUUAGCUUUGCCCCUGAGUGAAAUGGGAGUGCGGACAUGUUUAGCUGGGAAGUGGUCAGAGCUAACAUGGGUUUUUGUUUGUUUGUUUGUUUGUUUGUUUGGCUUUUGAGAUGGAAUCUCGCUCUGUUGCCAGGCUGGAGAGAAGUGAUGUGAUCUCAGCUCACUGGAACCUCCACCUCCCGCUUCAAGCAAUUCUCCUGCUUUAGCCUCCCAAGUAGCUGGGACUACAGGCAUCUGCCACCACACACAACUAAUUUUUGUAUUUAUAGUAGAGAUAAAGUUUCUCCAUAUUGGUCAGGCUGGUCCUGGACUCCCAACCUCAGGUGAUCCACCCACCACAGCCUACUAAAGUACUGGGAUUACAGGCAUGAGCCACUGCCGACUUGGAUUAACAAAUCUCUCUGGUCACGGGGUGGAGGAUGGGCUGUGGGACAUGAACAGGAGUGGGGUGGGACCAAGAGCAGGGGCAGGCAGGGUAGGAAAGAGCCUAUUUAUUGCAAGAGCCAAAGCAGGAGGCCAGGCUGGUGAAACCCUCAGGCAGCAGCCAACUCUGUGUGCAAGUGGGUGGACGUGCAUGCAUGUGUGUGCAUGGUGUGAGUGUGUGCACACAUGUAUGUGUGUGAGCAUGGAUUGCUUGGGCAUGCACGUGCACUUGUGUGUGUGGAUGUAUGCCCACAUUGUGUUGCUGUGCACACUAGCAUGCUUGUGUGAGUGUGCAAAUGUGCAUGCAUGUGUGCAUGCUGUGUGUGUGCAUGAGUGUGCACAUGCACAGAUGUGCACAGGAUGGUUGCUAAAAUAACCAGACAAGGACUAGGAAAAGAACAGCCCCACAGGUGCUCUUAGACUCCCAGAGCAUGAAAGCUCAGCUCCAUCUGAGGCUCACCCUUCCUCAAAGAUGGAGGCUGGGCCCUAACCAAGGUCAUGUCUCUUUUCUUGUAUUGAAAGAAUAAACCUCACCACGCCCCAGGGUUGUUUCCUGGCUGUAGUCGGUCCAGUGGGAACACAGAAGUACUCCCUGCUGUCCGUCCUCUUUGGGGAGCUGUCAAAGAUGGAGGGGUUCAUGAGCAUCAAAGUGAGGCCACCCCCUGCCUGUCUGCUAGGAUGUACCCAUCAUCCUGAAAGUCCCCCUUCCUCACUGCCUUUCCACCCCUCAUUAUCUCAGCCAAGCUCACUUUCAUUCGUUCUCUCCACCACCCACCCACCGAGAGCCCAGCUCCCACUGCUCCUCAAAACCUGUCAUACCUCUGUCCCCAUCAUCCUUCUGUGACCAAAGUAAGUUGUGUUUUAGUGUUCAGUGGCCUACAUGCUCCAGGAGGCCUGGGUGCAGAACACCUCUGUGGUGAAGAAAGUGUGCCUCAGGCAGUAGCUGGACCCAGCCUGGCUGGAGGGAGUCCUAGAGGCCUGUGCCCUGCGGCGAGAUGUGGACAGCUUCCCUGAGGAGUCCACACUUCAAUUGGGGAGCAGGAAGUCUGGGACCCCCAUAUAACAGAAGAGGACCCAGGCUGGGGUGAGGAAGCCAUCAGAGUCACCAGCUCCUUCUUUAUAAUGCAAUGAAAGACGAAGGAAACAGCAGAAGAACGGAGUAAGAAAACAGAUUCAUUGAAAACAACUGACAGAGCAAGCGGCUAGUACUAACUUGAAGUCUCCCUUUCCUUAAGAGCUGUCUUAGCAGACUCAGAGUAAGCAUUACACCUGCUCACUCCUUGAACUUUGAUAAGGUUUAACCUUUAGAAGGUUCAUGUUCAUAUUGAAAUUAAUUCUGCUCUAGAUCUAAAUCUAUGGUUUAUUUUGAACAUGUCACUAAGUCCUACUGCAUUUUAAAAUAAUUAAAAUAUCCUUCCUAACUCUGCUCUCUUAACCUCAUACUUCAUUUCAUUCAAUUCCUCCUCAGAUGAUAUGGGUGAAAGUUCCUUUAUUCAAGAGUGAUAGCAAAAUUAUUUAGCAGAGUAUAUUAUGGACAAGAUAAAUCAGAACCAGAUGCCAACUACUCAAGAAACUUACAGAUCAGUCAGAACACAUGCCACUCAAUCAAAAUAAACAGAGCUAAGUGCUAGAGCAGGGGCCUAGAAGCCCCCCCCCCCCAUUACACAAGAUACAAAGUCCCAUAUGAAAUAUAAAAUGCAGAAUUUUUCUAAGAUGGAGUUUAAUGAAGGGUUGCUCUAUACACCCCAAUUUCUUAGUUUUGAGGUAUUUCUGGAUUUACUUCCUCAGAGUUUUCUCUCCUAGUUCUGGGGGACUUUUCAAUUUCUGCUGCUACCUGAUUUCCAAAUAUUACUUCUUUCUAGAAUUCAUUAAAAAAGUAUAAUCCAGCAAAAAUAUUAAGAUUUUGGUUGGUUUGGAAAGAAAAGUCGUAUCACACAAGGAGUCAGUGGAAAUCUUCUUGGCCCAGUGUAAUUUCCAUUCUUCCUCUUGUGGCCAUUCUUCAUCCAAAACAUUCUGGGCCUCUGGUGAAGUGUCUCUCCCCACCGAGUGCAGUCCCUAGGUCUUAGAAGGGAGUGAGUCCCUGAAGCCGAUGCUAAUUGUUAGCUAUCUCUUGGUCUCCUCUCCCAGUGUCCUGUUGAAUUCUAAUGAUUGAUAUUCACAUCACAUUCAAGUUUUAUUUCUUAUGAAAUUGUUCUAAAUUGCCAUCUUGUCUCUCAGUCCUUGCAGAAUAAACGGCCCUUGAUCUUGCAGAUCCAACAAUCUUAAUUCAGUUCAGCUGCCACAUUUGACAGAUAAGGAAACUAAAGCUCAGAAAAAGGAAGUAAUUUACCAAAAACUAUUGGGUCUAUUUGGAAGCAGAGCUGAAGCCAUAACUUCGUUCUUCUUCCUCUUAGGCCAAUGCCCCUAUCUACUUGUGUCAUUUUUUUCUUCACUCCACAUUGGCAAGAUUGUAAUAAUGAAAGAUGACAGGGUUGCUUAUGCACCUUGUAUCCUUGUCUAUCAUAACUAUAAACCCAAAUAUAUGUUUCCCAGAAUAGUUAAUCAUCUAGUAGAAGAAGAUAAUGUGAUUUCUUGUCCUGUAAAUUAUGAAAAAACACCUCCUGUACCUUCUCAUAAUG